rnacentral:lncRNA from 1 species
AAUGUAAAGUGCAAAUAUUAAAUGACACAAGAUAUUUUAAUACUGGUUCGGAUUCAAUGUGAAUCCUACACUAGUCCCAUUGGGUUGCAAGUGGGUUCUCUCUUCAAAUCUUCUUGAAAAUUUCGUACAAGUGUGUUGAUGCUAUCACGAACACCAACUGCCUUUUAGUUCUAAGUACACCCGUUGUAUUUUCAAUACAAUGCCUCACCAAUAUUUUUCUCUAUUUCUUCUCUCUACUAGUUACAUAGUAAAUCACACUCAUAUUACAAUGCUUGCUUAGAGUAGAACAAAGAGCACGAAGUUGGUACGAUCAAAGUAGAUCUCUCCUCUUGGCCGUUUUGCAAUAUAUACACCUUGAGAAAUCUGCUUUGAAUUGAUUGUGGCAAAUUUGAGAGAUUGCAGUCUCAGGGAAAUUGAUCCUUGGAAUGAAUUAAGAAUUGAUUCUUUCCAAGAAUAAGUGUGGAGCCUCCUUGAUUUGAGUCUUGAUCAGCGAGCUUGAUAGAAUCUUCCAUCUGUGAGCGAGUCCUAUUUCAACGAACAACCUUUUAUUUGUCCUUUGAUUUUGGAGUUCAACAAUUUUUUUUUAAUGACCAAAUCCUCAGUUCUUUAAUAGCUAUGACAGGCAGAUUCUUAGCAGUCUUGAACUCCUCUGAUUUUGGACCUUCCUUUCUUAUCUUCCUUCGCAUGGGCUAUCAGAUCAUUGGAGAUCUUUUUCUUCUUUCCCUUUAUUCCUUCCUUUCUCGUCUUUCUUCGUAUAUCUUUGGCUAUCUUACUUGUCCUUUCCUUUGUUCCUAGAAUAUACCUGCAAAUAGAAAUAUAUUAUUUUUCAUCAUUGAAACUUAGAUCUAACAUAAACUACCUUAGAAACCCGAAAAAUAAAAGAAACAUGCCGUCAAUAUUUUGAAAAAAUAGUAGAAACUAUUUCCAAAAUUGUAAAAAAAUAUCGUAUUCAUAUUAGAAUUUUGCUAAAAAAUAUUGAAAACCUUUCAUGGAUUAUAGAUGCCUUCAAUAAUAGCAAAUAAUAUCCAAAUCACACAUAAUGAUCUACCAAGAUCGUUUUCUGAUAUCAAUUGUAGAAAAAAAUAAUUUCAUCCACACAAUAUCACAAGCAAAUCAUUAACAAAGAUAUAAAUCUAGAAUAAUGGUUAAGAACACUAAGCUUGAUCCAUUGCAGAAUAUUUGAUUGAAGGAGGCAAAUCUUUUAAGUCGUGCACAUUAUUUAAUACGUUGUACUUUUCAGAGAUGAGAAAGAAAAUAGAAAGUGUGUGACUUUAGAGACCACACACCUUUUAUAGAAAUUAGUGUCUUUUCAUGCAAGGUGCCUUUUCGUCCAUCAAACAUAAAUAAAAAGGAAUAACUGAUUUUUCUUAGGCCCUUAUAAUUUAAUACUUUAUUACAUCAUAAAAUUGAGCUCCUUUAAUUGACAAUAUAUCUAUGUACAAUAUAUAAUAAUAUGUGAUGUGAGUCUAUAUAGAAGAAAGUUAGUAGCAAUAGGCAAAAGACUUCGUUCUUUUAGGAAACCAAGUGUCCUUUUGAUAUUUCUCCAAUAAUCACUACUUGGAUUAUGAGUAUAUCCUUAUUAUUUUCAAAUUAAACAGCAAUAUUGAUAUUCGUUUUAGUGCAAUACAUACCAUACAAUAUAGUUUCAAUUACAAUAGUAUAAUCUAAUUGACAAAAAAAAAUUCAAAUUUUUAUUAAUUUUAUUGGAACAUCUAAUUGAGUAUUAAAUUUUAUUAUACCCAAAUGAUUUAAUAUAAUAGAAAGAACCUUUUUCCACUAUAGUGAUAUUUUCGUAUAACAAAACUCCCACUAUAUAUUAACUUUGACACAUAAGAUAGCAUCAAUUUCUCGCAGGCCUUUCAUAUUAAAAUGGUACGAGAGAAUACUGAAAAAACUCAAAAAGUUAAUUCUUGGUUAACUGGGUCAAAACCCGAGACCUAAUACCUUUUCCUGCUAUCCAAGAUCUAACUAGUCCAAAUAUAUAUAUGUGCUCAUGUUCUAAAUUCCAGUUCGUCUGGUUACUUAAAUCCUUGUUUUUUUUUAUUUAGGGUUUUGGAGUUAAAGUCUAUAAUUCUAUGUCUAAUCCCAUGAAUUUGAUGAUAAAAAUUUGGAUUAAAGCAUUUAAAUAAUCCAUAUGUAGUUUUAGAAUACUUACCCUGACGAUUCGUGUUGAUCCCCUUCAAAAUUUUACAAACUCAUGACCUAGAACCGGCAAAACUUGAAAAAUAUAAGGAGUAAUAGUUCAACGAGCUCUUAUUCGUCCUUGGCGAACCUGUAUACUCUUGUCAUGUUAGGUAUAAAGUCAAGUCUCGAGUUCUUAUUUAGAAUUCUCGUAUAUUCAGUUCAAACGAGAGUUUUAAUGCAAUUCAAAUUGACAAGCAGUAGUGACAACCGCAUAAGAAAUGUGGGGAGGACAGAACAAAAUUUUGAAUUCCCAGAUUUUCUUUGCAAAUAGACCAAUCAAUGGUGUUCUAUCGAUAACAAGAUUCAGUCGCUACAAGCACACGGCGGAAUACUCCUAAGGUUUGGUUUUAGUGAGUUAGGUUUAGUGAUUUGGGUGGAUUUAUAUUUAUACUUGUCUCCUUCUGUUACUAUUACAUAACCUCCUUGAAACAAGGGCCUAAGAAGCAUCUGACAGGUUGGAAUUCUUACCUUCUUAGGACUCCAUGGACUAGAUUCUCUACUAUACCGGAGAAGUGUGCUGGCUAACCCUCUGCUAUCGGCUCCCUUGCCGUGAUCACGGAGAAGGUGUGGGGCUAACUCUUCCCUAUCGAAGUCUGUGUUUUAACACUCAAGGUAGUCCUCUGCGAUUGCGGAGUCCCUACUGUUAUCACAAAUAAGUGGGGUGGCUAGCCCUCCGCUAUUGUGGUUCCCUCACCAAUAUCGCAAAGAAGAGGCCGCCCUAACUCUUUGCUAUCACGGGUCCCUUACCGCGAUUGUAGAGAAGGAGUCGGGCUACCUCUCAGCUAUCGUGGCC